GGAGGUCUUCGGACUUCAGUGGCGGACGGGUGAGUAACGCGUAGGGAUCUAUCCACGGGUGGGGGAUAACUCCGGGAAACUGGAGCUAAUACCGCAUGAUACCUGAGGGUCAAAGGCGCAAGUCGCCUGUGGAGGAGCCUGCGUUCGAUUAGCUUGUUGGUGGGGUAAAGGCCUACCAAGGCGAUGAUCGAUAGCUGGUCUGAGAGGAUGAUCAGCCACACUGGGACUGAGACACGGCCCAG
rnacentral:rRNA from 1 species